rnacentral:rRNA from 1 species
UACGAAGGGUGCAAGCGUUAAUCGGAAUUACUGGGCGUAAAGGGUGCGUAGGCGGUUGUUUAAGUCUGCCGUGAAAUCCCCGGGCUCAACCUGGGAAUGGCCGUUGAAACUGGCGAACUGGAGUGUGGCAGAGGGGGGUGGAAUUCCGCGUGUAGCAGUGAAAUGCGUAGAGAUGCGGAGGAACACCGAUGGCGAAGGCAGCCCCCUGGGCUGACACUGACGCUCAGGCACGAAAGCGUGGGGAGCAAACAGG